rnacentral:misc_RNA from 1 species
AUGGGUGAGGUCAUGCAUGCUGUGAUCUCCACCGCUAGUGUUGUGGUAUACUUCUGCACCUUUGUUAUGGGCUUUGGUCCAAUCCCAAAUAUCCUCUGCUCUGAGAUAUUUCCCACCAGCGUUCGUGGAAUCUGUAUUGCUAUAUGUGCUCUUACUUUUUGGAUCGGAGACAUCAUUGUCACCUACUCGCUCCCUGUCAUGCUCAACUCCAUUGGACUUGGAGGUGUCUUCGCCAUCUAUGCUGUCGUGUGUGCUGUGGCUUGGGUAUUCGUUUUCUUGAAAGUUCCUGAAACAAAGGGCAUGCCCCUUGAAGUCAUUACA